UCCGUAGGUGGAUCAAUCAGUCAGAGGUGAAAUCCUGCAGCUUAACCGUAGAACUGCCUUUGAUACUGUUGAUCUUGAGUCAUUAUGAAGUGGUUAGAAUGUGUAGUGUAGCGGUGAAAUGCAUAGAUAUUACACAGAAUACCGAUUGCGAAGGCAGAUCACUAAUAAUGUACUGACACUGAGGGACGAAAGCGUGGGGAGCGAACAGGAUUAGAUACCCUGGUAGUCC
rnacentral:rRNA from 1 species